AUUGAACGCUGGCGGCAGGCCUAACACAUGCAAGUCGAACGAGUGGCGGACGGGUGAGUAAUGUCUGGGAAACUGCCUGAUGGAGGGGGAUAACUACUGGAAACGGUAGCUAAUACCGCAUACCAUCGGAUGUGCCCAGAUGGGAUUAGCUAGUAGGUGGGGUAAAGGCUCACCUGGGCGACGAUCCCUAGCGGGUCUGAGAGGAUAACCAGCAACACUGGAACUGGGACACGGUCCGGCCUCCUACGGGAGGAAGCAGUGGGGAUUAUUGCACAAUGGGCGCAAGCCUGAUGCGGCAAUGCCGCGUGUAGGACGAGGGCCUUCGGGUUGUAAGGUACUUUCAGCGGGGAGGCGUUACCCGCAGAAGAAGCACCGGCUAACUCCGUGCCAGCCGCCGCGGUAAUAC
rnacentral:rRNA from 1 species